GAGCUUAUUCUGCACAAAGAGGGGAAGAAUCAAGUGAGAAAUCUUGAGAAGAAAGAGUUAGAAAGAAAAUUUUAGAAGAGUAGAUGUUUUGAAGGGUUUUCGGGAGAACAAAUUCGGAGCAAGAAAUUGAGUUUAAAAUAAAGGCCCUUGAAGAAUUAGGGAGAUAUGUCCAAUGCGGCGUUUGUAGGACGACUCUUAUCUGCAGUCCAUAUGAGGGACUGGUUUUGGCAUAUACUUAACAAAUGCAUAAAAAUCGAGAUAAAUCCAAUAGCUACGUGUGAAAUGAGAAGUGGUUAGAGUCGGAUGAGAAGUGAGUAGUGUUUGAAGUAUACGUGAAGAUGAUGUUUCAGGUAAAACUGAAGACAUUUAGUGCGAGGAUGCAUUGGGAAACACUCUUCGGGACUUUUAGAUAUGUAUUUUAAAUUAUAUAACGUUGUGGUUUGUAAUUUUAAACUACUUUAAGAUUUGGUUUGUAAUUCAAUAAUUAUUCUUGAAAACUUUGAUGUCCUCAUUGUAUAAUAUUAAUAAAUGUGUGGUUUUAAAUGUGAAAGUGUAUUUUGGAAAAAAUUUCUGUGACACUCCGAGAAGGAGUUACAUCCUCCACUAAUGGAACUCAUCACUCUUUUGAGCAACC